GUAGGUGGCAAGCGUUGUCCGGAAUUACUGGGUGUAAAGGGAGCGCAGGCGGGUGAUCAAGUCAGCUGUGAAAACUACGGGCUUAACCCGUAGACUGCAGUUGAAACUGUUCAUCUUGAGUGAAGUAGAGGUUGGCGGAAUUCCGAGUGUAGCGGUGAAAUGCGUAGAUAUUCGGAGGAACACCGGUGGCGAAGGCGGCCAACUGGGCUUUAACUGACGCUGAGGCUCGAAAGUGUGGGGAGCAAACAGGAUUAGAUACCCUGGUAGUCCACGCCGUAAACGAUGAAUGCCAGCCGUUAGUGGGUUUACUCACUAGUGGCGCAGCUAACGCUUUAAGCAUUCCGCCUGGGGAGU
rnacentral:rRNA from 1 species